AUUAGGUUUUGUUCCUUCUUCAUUCAUCAAUGUUCUCAAAGCAGCAGAUGAGCAGCGCCGUCUGUGUGGUUGAACUGUCGAAGCAAUCAGCAGAGCGCAGAGGCGGUUAUUUUUUUUGGCAGGAUCGAAGAGCUCAGAGAAGGCAACCUUGACUCAGGAAGUGGACUCGCGGCGGCAGAGGAUGAGGCAGUGAGCGGAGGUCCAUCAGCGAGAAGAAUCAGAAGAAAGGGGGAGGAAGAAGAAAACAACAAGGGUAAAAUGGUCUUGACAAACGAACUUUUCUUCCCAGCAGCACUGGAAAACAAAAUCCCGUGAAAAAGUACUUCCUGCGAACCAAACAUGGCCUUAGUUUUGCCACUUUUCCCACAUCGGUGGGAAAAGUGGCAUGGGAGCCUUGAGGCUCCUAUAAAAGGGGCCUCAAGGCUCCAAAAUAAACACAAAGCUCCAUCCUUUGAUGGGCGAACAGGGAACCAGCCUAACUGGCUCUCGCAUACGCGGAGCCGGAAAUGGCUCGGUUCCACAGUUAUAAUAUUUUUGGAAUUACUGUCUCGUAAUCCCCCCCUCCCCUACCCCGCGACGACGAUGGCUUAUUAUUCUCUUCAGGUUCCCUCUACUGCUCUUUCUUUCUUUCCUGUUCUUUCUGUCAGCCUUCUACUCCAUUAUUGCUACACACCCCUCCCUCUUUAUAUAUAUAAUAAUAUAUAUAUAUUCUUGAUCAUUUCGAACGGAGCGUUAUACUUUGUAGUGGGUUUUGAAUUCAAAAAUUAUGUUUUUGUUUUUGGAUUUUUGUUUUACUAAAUUCUGUUUGUAAUUCAAUUGUAUAUCUUUUUUGUGUAUGGAUUUUGUCUCUGGCAGUGUUGAUUUAUAUAAGGUUCUGAUAUUUCGUAUUUAA